UACGGGGGGAGCAAGCGUUGUUCGGAUUUACUGGGCGUAAAGGGCGCGUAGGCGGUCAGCACAAGUCAGUUGUGAAAUCUCCGGGCUUAACUCGGAAAGGUCAACUGAUACUGUGCGACUAGAGUGCAGAAGGGGCAACUGGAAUUCUCGGUGUAGCGGUGAAAUGCGUAGAUAUCGAGAGGAACACCUGCGGCGAAGGCGGGUUGCUGGGCUGACACUGACGCUGACAGCGCGAAAGCUAGGGGAGCGAAGCAGG
rnacentral:rRNA from 1 species